rnacentral:rRNA from 1 species
GUUAGAACGCUCGUAGUCGGAUUUCGGGGCGGGUCGACCGGUCUGCCGAUGGGUACGCACUGGUCGACGCGUCCUUCCUUCCGGAGACCGUCUCACUCUUAACUGAGCGGAGGCGGGAGACGGAACGUUUACUUUGAAAAAAUCAGAGUGUUUCAAGCAGGCAGCUCGCUCUUGCAUGGAUUAGCAUGGGAUAAUGAAAUAGGACUUUGGUGCUAUUUUGUUGGUUUCGAACACCGAAGUAAUGAUGAGAAGGGACAGUCAGGGGCACUCGUAUUCCGCCGAGAGAGGUGAAAUUCUCAGACCAGCGGAAGACGAACCACUGCGAAAGCAUUUGCCAGGGAUGUUUUCACUGAUCAAGAACGAAAGUUAGGGGAUCGAAGACGAUCAGAUACCGUCGUAGUCUUAACCAUAAACCAUGCCGACUAGGGAUUGGAGGAUGUUCACUUAUUGACUCCUUCAGCACCUUACGGGAAACUAAAGUCUUUGGGUUCCGGGGGGAGUAUGGUCGCAAGGCUGAAACUUAAAGGAAUUGACGGAAGGGCACCACCAGGUGUGGAGCCUGCGGCUUAAUUUGACUCAACACGGGGAAACUUACCAGGUCCAGACAUUGUGAGGAUUGACAGAUUGAGAGCUCUUUCUUGAUUCGAUGGGUGGUGGUGCAUGGCCGUUCUUAGUUGGUGGAGUGAUUUGUCUGGUUAAUUCCGUUA